AGAGAGAGUGAGCUCGGGGUAGAGGCAAGCCAGCCAGAUUGCGUCCAGCGGCAGUCGCUCCGCGGGGUUCCCAGAAGGCAGCGGGGAAACCCCGCCGCAAAGGUGCGCCCUGCGCGGGGACUCCGCGGCGCAUGCAGAGCUGGAAGCCAGUGGUGGGAUCCCCACCCAUCCUUGGAGACCGCUUCUGCCUCGAGUCCUCGGUCUCCAAGAAUAGGAUACCUUCCUUCUAGCCACAUCAUCACUGAAGCUGAAGCACGUUCUUUUUCCUGUUCAGCAUUGAACACUUUGAAUAUAUUAUGACAACUAUGAUUUGUUUGUGCCAUCUUGUGUGUGUGUGUAUAUACAUAUAUAUGUAUAUAUAUAUAUAUAUGCUAAUAAAACCUUUCCAUUAACAAAACUCAUUGAAAACAAAUUCUAUGUCUACUUGUGAUUUAUCUUCCCUGAGACCUCAAAUAUCUAGAAAUAUUAUUUGCAUUUAUUCUUGUCAUAUUUCAAUAUUUUAUUGUCAAUGUUGAGUGUAGAAAGAGGUGGAAAAGGAGAGCGAUAAUUGUGAAGUUGAUCACUGGAUGAAUUAGUAGAUGCUAGAAGAAGACUGUGCAAAAGAAACUGAAAUAAAGAAGUAGUGACA
rnacentral:lncRNA from 1 species